GACGAACGCUGGCGGCGUGCCUAACACAUGCAAGUCGAGCGAGGAGGAGGAAGCUUGCUUCCGAAUCCUAGCGGCGGACGGGUGAGUAACGCGUGAGCAACCUGCCUUUUACUGGGGGAUAACGCAUCGAAAGAUGUGCUAAUACCGCGUAAGACCACAGCACCGCAUGGUGCAGGGGUCAAAGGAGCAAUCUGGUAAAAGAUGGGCUCGCGUCCGAUUAGCUAGUUGGUGAGAUAACAGCCCACCAAGGAGACGAUCGGUAGCCGACCUGAGAGGGUGAUCGGCCACAUUGGAACUGGGACACGGUCCAGACUCCUACGGGAGGCAGCAGUGGGGAAUAUUGGGCAAUGGGCGAAAGCCUGACCCAGCAACGCCGCGUGAGGGAAGAAGGGUUUCGGCUCGUAAACCUCUGUCCUAUGGGACGAAGAAGUGACGGUACCAUAGGAGGAAGCCCCGGCUAACUACGUGCCAGCAGCCGCAGUAACAC
rnacentral:rRNA from 1 species